GCCCCGCCCCUCCGUCCACCUCCACCGGGCUGCCGUGGUCGCCGUCAUCCUGGCCUCCUCCGCCCGCCCCCGCGCUGUCGGCGGCGGCCCAGGGCGGGACCAGGAGGGGGCAGCGGGGCUCAGCCCGCGCCGUGCCGGGAGAGAGGCGGCGGCGGGCACACACACACCCAGGCCAAUAAAGAUGAAACUUGUGAAAACGCCCUAAGAAGAAAAGGAGAAGGAAGAGAUUACAGCACUGCUGACUUUGAAACAACUUGGUAGAUGGAUUUAAAAAAUUUUUGUUACGUGACCCAGAGAUUCGCCU